UACGCAGGUGGCGAGCGUUAUCCGGAAUUACUGGGCGUAAAGCGUACGCAGGCGGCUUCUUAAGUCUGACGUGAAAGCUCCCGGCUUAACUGGGAGAGGUCGUUGGAGACUGGGGGGCUUGAGGCGAUGAGAGGGGUGUAGAAUUCCAGGUGUAGUGGUGGAAUGCGUAGAUAUCGGGAGGAAUACCAGUGGCGAAAGCGAAACCCUGGCAUAGGCCUGACGCUCAUGUAAGAAAGCGUUGGGAGCAAACGGG
rnacentral:rRNA from 1 species